AUUGUAAAUAUGUUCAUUUUAAAGGGCAAAUGGUUCAAGAAAACCACAAGUUAGCCUUUCUUUCAUUCAAGAUAUUUUGUACCUUUUCUAAUUACGUGGCUGCCUCAGAUCCACAAAUUAGAAAAUUACUAAACGCCAAAUCUAGGCAGAUCAAUGGCACUUUAGAAAAAAUCUUUACGGGUAAAAUAGUAUUUUCAUCUUAUAUAACCUCCAAAUCGCCCACUCUCUCUCUUGCAAAGGAGGCAGGAGCUUCCAUUAAAAUCUUGUUCAGCACACUCUCUUCAAUUUCCUCUCUUUCACAACAAUCUUUUUGUUAAAAAUGCACUCUUUCCGUUCAAUAAAUCAAAGCGGAGACAAAGCUUGUGCCGGUGAAAAGCUUGAUCAUUCAAUGUGACAUAUAUAGCUGAAUUUGGAUAACCCACACCAAUCUCAUAUACUAGGCCGCCACAACGAAGUUUUAAUUUUUUUAGUGUACAAUAAUUGUGAAUUGUGUCUCUAUGCCUAUGGUGUGGCAUGUAAACCUGCAUUGGUAUGUUGAAAAUAUAUAUUUAUACAACCUUCUGUGUGGAAGGAAGGAAAAAACUCUCUUAUAUGAUCCAUAUUGGUAGAGCUAGAUACUUCAGUCAAUCUCUUAGAAUCACUAAUUAUACAUACUAGGUUAGAAAUAUGGAAAUGAAAAAUGAAAAUAGGUGGAAGAGGUAAAUCACAUAUAGAUAUUAGAUACUAUACUUUGUUAAAUUUAGUGUAGACACUUGUGAAUAGUGUGCUGUGUUUGUAUAAAACCAAAACUUAGUAUGUAAAAAAUAUUCAUUUUUGUGAA